GGAUCAUUACAGAGUUGCAAAACUCCAACCCUUUGUGAACCACAACCUCCAGUCGUUGCUUCGGCGGGCCCGCCCGCCGGAGGUUCAAACAAACUCACGUUUUCCGAGUACGUCUUCUGAGCAAACAAGAAAAAAUAAAUCAAAACUUUCAACAACGGAUCUCUUGGCUCUGGCAUCGAUGAAGAACGCAGCGAAAUGCGAUAAGUAAUGUGAAUUGCAGAAUUCAGUGAAUCAUCGAAUCUUUGAACGCACAUUGCGCCCGCCGGUAUUCCGGCGGGCAUGCCUGUCCGAGCGUCAUUUCAACCCUCAAGCCCACUCCGGCUUGGUGUUGGGGCGCCCGGGGCU
rnacentral:misc_RNA from 1 species